GAUCCUGGCUCAGGAUGAACGCUAGCUACGGGCUUAACACAUGCAAGUCGAGGGGAAACGAUAUUGGAAGCUUGCUUCCGAUAGGCGUCGACCGGCGCACGGGUGAGUAACGCGUAUCCAACCUGCCCACCACUUGGGGAUAACCUUGCGAAAGUAAGACUAAUACCCAAUGAUAUCUCUAGAAGACAUCUGAAAGAGAUUAAAGAUUCAUCGGUGAUGGAUGGGGAUGCGU
rnacentral:rRNA from 1 species